rnacentral:rRNA from 1 species
UACGAAGGGUGCAAACGUUGCUCGGAAUUAUUGGGCGUAAAGAGCUCGUAGGCGGUUUGUCGCGUCUGCCGUGAAAGUCCGGGGCUCAACUCCGGAUCUGCGGUGGGUACGGGCAGACUAGAGUGAUGUAGGGGAGACUGGAAUUCCUGGUGUAGCGGUGAAAUGCGCAGAUAUCAGGAGGAACACCGAUGGCGAAGGCAGUUCUCUGGGCCGUAACUGACGCUGAGGAGCGAAAGCGUGGGGAGCGAACAGG